ACGAACGCUGGCGGCGUGCUUAACACAUGCAAGUCGAACGGUGAAGCGCCUUCCUUUUUGGUGGGUGUGGAUGAGUGGCGAACGGGUGAGUAACACGUGAGUAACCUGCCCCCUUCUUCUGGAUAACCGCAUGAAAGUGUGGCUAAUACGGGAUAUUCUGGGUCUGUCGCAUGAUGGGUCUGGGAAAGAUAUUGUUUCGGUGGGGGAUGGGCUCGCGGCCUAUCAGCUUGUUGGUGGGGUGAUGGCCUACCAAGGCGGUGACGGGUAGCCGGCCUGAGAGGGUGGACGGUCACACUGGGGCUGAGACACGGCCCAGACUCCUACGGGAGGCAGCAGUGGGGAAUAUUGCACAAUGGGCGCAAGCCUGAUGCAGCGACGCCGCGUGAGGGAUGGAGGCCUUCGGGUUGUGAACCUCUUUCGCCAGUGAAGCAGGCCUGCCUCGUUUGUGGGUGGGUUGACGGUAGCUGGAUAAGAAGCGCCGGCUAACUACGUG
rnacentral:rRNA from 1 species